UUCUUGUUACAAACAGGUUUUAGAAACCAUCUUUCUCUACUACUCUCUCUCUCUCUGUAAUCGUAUUUCUCUUCUAAUAAAGCUUUUUGUAAAUUUUUGCCAAGUACUGGUCAGACCCUUACUUCUUAAGAUGUUGUGGACCAAUGGACUGGGCAUCAGAACCAACAUUAUAAGACAAUGCAGCCACCACGAGGAUGGUCAUUACUUGGAAUGUAUUGGGGGAAUGCUAUGAAGUCAUGUGUAUUUAUUUACCAAGGAAUGUCUCGAAGCCAUGUGUAUCCAUUUGCCAGAGAAUGUCCUGUAACAUUCUAUACUUGGUAGCCAUUGUGGAUAAGGUCCGGGACGUCGGGUAAAAGUAUAGUUUAGGCUAGUUAGGAUAAUGUAAGUUUAUUUUCAUACUUUAUUUUUAUUUUGGAUUGUAUAAUCGGAUUGAAUAUUAUUUCUUAUUUUUGUAUUUUGCUUAUGCGUUUGUUUGCUUUGUUUGUAAAAUCUAUUCAUUUACAAUGUCAAUUUAGACGAUAUAAAUCAAUGGAGCAACCUUGCUACACGAGACCGAGGGAUGCCUAGCACCUUCGCCUCCGUCAACAGAAUUUUUUAAUCAGAAUCUCUAUUCGCGGAUUAGUUUACGGAGGCAAAUAUUUUUAAAAGGAUUAUCUUGGUGACUUGCAACA